UUGUGCUAUAAUCAUUAUUUAUAGGAACAA
rnacentral:piRNA from 1 species